CGCAGCCCCUAUUGUUAGUUGCCAUCAUUCAGUUGGGCACUCUAGCGAGACUGCCGGUAAUAAACCGGAGGAAGGUGGGGAUGACGUCAAAUCAUCAUGCCCCUUAUGACCUGGGCUACACACGUGCUACAAUGGUUGGUACAACGAGUUGCGAGUCGGUGACGGCGAGCUAAUCUCUUAAAGCCAAUCUCAGUUCGGAUUGUAGGCUGCAACUCGCCUACAUGAAGUCGGAAUCGCUAGUAAUCGCGGAUCAGCACGCCGCGGUGAAUACGUUUCCGGGCCUU
rnacentral:rRNA from 1 species